rnacentral:rRNA from 1 species
GGGGAAUUUUGGACAAUGGGGGCAACCCUGAUCCAGCCAUGCCGCGUGAGUGAAGAAGGCCUUCGGGUUGUACAGCUCUUUCGGCCGGGAAGAAUCGCGCCUUCUAAUACGGGGUGUGGAUGACGGUACCGGAAGAAGUAGCACCGGCUAACUACGUGCCAGCAGCCGCGGUAAUACGUAGGGUGCGAGCGUUAAUCGGAAUUACUGGGCGUAAAGGGUGCGCAGGCGGCGCCAUAAGACAGCUGUGAAAUCCCCGGGCUUAACCUGGGAACUGCGGUUGUGACUGUGGUGCUUGAGUGCGGCAGAGGGGGGUGGAAUUCCACGUGUAGCAGUGAAAUGCGUAGAGAUGUGGAGGAACACCGAUGGCGAAGGCAGCCCCCUGGGUCGACACUGACGCUCAUGCACGAAAGCGUGGGGAGCAAAC